rnacentral:lncRNA from 1 species
AUUUGGGUGACCCUCCUACCUCUGCAUCACUGGCUGCUCUUCUGGAAGACUCCGAUUCCAUUCCCAGCACCCACAUGAUGAUGCCUUACCGCCAUUUAUGACAAAGGAAGUAGAUAUCAGACAUCAACCCCUCCCCCAGGACUGGACACCAGCCCCCCUCCACCUCAGUACUGGACUUCCUGACCUCCAGAACUGUGAACCAGGAAAGUCUGGUUCACUAGAUUCAGUCUCAGGUAUUAUGACAAAGAGUUACAAACAGACUAAGACAGCUUUCUUAUAAAUAAAACAUCUCAAAUAC